AAGUCGAGGGGUAACAGAAAAGCUUGCUUUUGCUGACGACCGGCGCACGGGUGCGUAACGCGUAUGCAACCUACCUCAUACUGGAGGAUAGCCCCUGGAAACGGGGAUUAAUACUCCAUAGUAUCACAAUUUCGCAUGUUAUUGUGAUUAAAGUUUUUCGGUAUGAGAUGGGCAUGCGUCCCAUUAGCUUGUUGGUGAGGUAACGGCUCACCAAGGCAACGAUGGGUAGGGGGCCUGAGAGGGUGGUCCCCCACACUGGUACUGAGACACGGACCAGACUCCUACGGGAGGCAGCAGUGAGGAAUAUUGGUCAAUGGAGGAAACUCUGAACCAGCCAUGCCGCGUGAAGGAUGACGGCCCUAUGGGUUGUAAACUUCUUUUAUAGAGGAAGAAACUUGUCUACGUGUAGACAACUGACGGUACUCUACGAAUAAGGAUCGGCUAACUCCGUGCCAGCAGCCGCGGUAAUACGGAGGAUCCAAGCGUUAUCCGGAUUCAUUGGGUUUAAAGGGUCCGUAGGCGGAUUUUUAAGUCAGUGGUGAAAGCCGACAGCUCAACUGUCGAACUGCCAUUGAUACUGGAAA
rnacentral:rRNA from 1 species